rnacentral:tRNA from 1 species
GCUGAAGUGGUGGAAUUGGUAGACACGUUGGACUUAAAAUCCAAUGGAUAGUAAUAUCCGUGCGGGUUCAAGUCCCGCCUUCAGUACUA